AUAUAAUGUAUCUAUCAUAAAAUUAUUACAAUGUUAUAUAAAACAUGUGAGAUCGCGAACUCUGAUUUUAAUAACGAAAAAGAUUAUUUACUUCCUUUAAUAAAAUGCUCAAUACGAAAUUGAGCGCAUGCCAAUAAUGAUCUUGUCAUACUCUGUUCGAACUUGAGAUACAUUUUGACAUUAAGAAAAUACAAUAAAAUUACGUCGAAGAUGAAAAACUCAACGCUGCUAUGAUUCUCGAAUUUCCUUACUUUAAUUCAUUUCAGAAACAACAAAUUUGCAAUAUCUUAAGAAAGCGUUUAAUAUGUAGAAAAUUGAGCGAGGAAUCGCGCAUGCCAAUAAUGAUCUUGUCAUACUUUGCUCGAACUUGAGAUACAUUUUGACGUUAAGAAAAUACAAUAAAAUUACGUCGAAGAUGAAAAACUCAACCCUGCUAUGAUUCUCGAAUUUCCAUACUUUAAUUCAUUUCAGAAACAACAAAUUUGCAAUAUCUUAAGAAAGCGUUUAAUAUCUAGAAAAUUGAGCGAGGAAUUAUACAUACGAAUAAUGACUUGCUCAUAUUUUGCUCAAACUCGAGAUAUCUUCUUACCAUUACAAAUACACAAUUGUGUCGAAAACCACAAGAAUAACUCAGCUAACGGGUAGAAUCAAAUUUUCAAAGCACGAGUUUCAGAUCGUCUCGAUCAUCGAAAACAUUCGAAGAAAAUGACGUGAUUUCGCACUUGUCGGUUAUUACAUCUAUUAAUUGACGUACUCGGAAUUGUGAAAGAACGUUCAAGGGUACCUGUCGGCCAACUUACUGCACUGCACUGGGUUUACGGUAGUCGCAUUCCGCCGCGUGUCUAAUAAUGUUCAGUGAAAGUUGCCAGUAUGCAUGGUCGCCCAUGUUUACAAGAGUGCGCAUGCAGACAUGCUUGCAGUUGCGCUGCCGUUCUCUCGCUUGACGCUGCCUAUACGCCGAUAUACUAUUUUACGAUUGGCACGAGGAACGCGGUGAAUAUUUGCUUUCGCGUUUUUGCUCGCGUUUCGUAAGUCUUUAAUUUGCUGGCAGCCUGGUUCUCGCUGCUACGCCGCUGAACGAAAUUUAUUUCCAUUGCUAGAGGUGAAUCGCGUUUUAUUCGUUGUAGGGGCGAAAUUGUUCAGGCGAAAUGAAAUUCCUCGCCCUUAAAAUGAAAUAUCGGUGUUUUCGAUAGUAAAGUGCUGUUUUUAUAUCGAACAUCGAAGCCCAUUCUCAAGGAUAAUUUGGCGGAUGAAAAAAGCAUUUGUUAAGAUUUACCAAGAACACCGAGUUAUUCAACAGGAUAGCGUAGUACAAAUUGUAAAGUAUCACGCCGCACCUCCGUGGUAUCAUUAAUAAUCUCGUAGAUGACGUGAUAUUGGAGCUUAACUUAAAAGAAAUUGAUCUACCAAUAGGUUUGAGAAUUUUAUAUUAACCUACCAGGCACCGAGCAAUAAUAAUUUAUCAUGCCAUUACAAACAUAUCAAUUUCUUUAAAUAUUAUAAAAUUUUAGAAUCUAAGUGGACGAAAUAGUGACGAAAAAGAAUCCUUGGAACCUUUCCAUAGACACAGUAAUAAGAGAACAGAAUUCGAUAAUACAAAUUGAUUGAAAAAUAUUGCAAAUUAAAUGUUGCGUUAUCUCAACGCCUUUGGCGGGUUAAAAACAAUUAAAUGUUAUAAAGAAUAAUAGUAAAUUAUAAAUAUUUUAUGCUCGUGUUCCAACGUACACGGGUAUCCAAUUAAUUAUUAUAUUAUAUAAUAUAAUUAACUUAUUUUAUAUAAUAAUUAUAUUUUAAUUUAUAUAUUAAAAAUAAUAUUGUAAAAUAAUAUGUUAUACAAUAAAUAUUAAUAAAUAUUAUAUUAUAUUACUAUACUAAUCGAUUAUCAUAUAAUUUAAUUCAAAUUAUGUAUCUAAGUGACAUAAAUUUCAAUCGAUUUUGACAUUGCCUACUAUGAAGUCCAAUAUUCACAGCAUCGCUUUACUCGCAUUUAAGAUACUAUUAUAAGUUGUUCAAUGCACUACGUUAUUUAAAGCUAGUUAUUAAACAAUGAAUCAAUUAUUAUGUCUAGACCAUGAUCGUUUAUGCGGAUCCAUAUUUUUACGCAGACGAACAAAGGAACAGAACCUACGCGAAAAUGUCCAUCAGUUGCUAAACACCGUGUGACGGAUGCUAAUUACGUGCAUACUGUAUAUUUUUGCUCUUUUAAAUUUCCCACAAAUACACAAUAGUCCACAGUCCAAUUAUAACGAUUAUCACGACCAGUCACAAAAAAAAAAGAAGAAAAAAAAACAGAAAAGAAACAAAAGAACGAGGGAAUUUCAAUGCCUCGAAUAAACGUAACGAUUUCAUUAAAUUCAUCGGUGCUUAUAUCGUCGCUGGCGAUUAAAGACUUAACAAACUGAUCGGUCGCAAACGCGCAAAUCGAAUCGAUUUAAUUACGUAGGUACCGAACGAAGCAAUUAACGCGCGAGUAAUUUCAAUAGCCAGGGUAAUCAGCUUCUCUGAGCGCCGGCCACGUGCAAAUGUUAGCGCCCACGUGACGCACGUUUAUUAUGCAAUCAUCCCCCUUGAUAUCUUGCACCUGUAUUGCAGGACACGCGGAAACGAAAGUACGAUAUCGCAUUCAGCUUUAUCCGAGCCUGUUAUCGAUGGAUUUUGCCUGAACGCUGUGCUUGAAAGAUGAAAGUGUAACGAUAAUGUAACGCAAAGGCUGCUAUCUGCCGUCGUUCCUGGUAACGUGAAUUUUUGCGGUUGAACACAAGGUGCACCGCAUAGCAGCGUAUUGUUUCGAAUGGUCAUUGGUUAGUGGUUUCAUCGAUAGCUAACGUGACAUAUAUCAUCAGACUAAAUCGAAUAAUAUGAUCUUCUGCGUGGAUGGCUUGCGGUGAAUGUGGCGAGUAACUUCGCUGAAAAUCAUGGGAACCGAGCAUCGCGUCGUUUGCCUCUUCGAUCGCUCCGUAAAACUGUACCGAUGCGGUAUAAAUUAUAUCCUGUACAUAAAUUUACAAAUUUUUCUUUCAA